CCUACGGGAGGCAGCAGUGGGGAAUAUUGCACAAUGGGGGGAACCCUGAUGCAGCGACGCCGCGUGGGUGAUGAAGUCCUUCGGUAUGUAAAGCCCUAUCAGCAGGGAAGAAAAUGACGGUACCUGACUAAGAAGCCCCGGCUAACUACGUGCCAGCAGCCGCGGUAAUACGUAGGGAGCAAGCGUUAUCCGGAUUUACUGGGUGUAAAGGGAGCGUAGACGGCGUGCCAAGUCAGAUGUGAAAGGGCGGGGCUCAACCCCGGGACUGCAGUGGAAACUGGCAUGCUGGAGUGCAGGAGGGGUAAGCGGAAUUCGUGGUGUAGCGGUGAAAUGCGUAGAUAUUAGGAGGAACACCGGUGGCGAAGGCGGCUUGCUGGACGGUAACUGACGUUGAGGCUCGAAAGCGUGGGGAGCAAACAGGAUUAGAUACCCUUGUAGUC
rnacentral:rRNA from 1 species